AGCAGGUUAACACACCUCACCACAGCCGUUUUCUAACUCCUCCAUAUCUUCUGCUGUUUUCAGUUACCUGAGGCGACAGGUAGGUCACGGCACCUGCUGACGUCAUCACUGUACUCACACGACCGGGCCGUGUAAAAUCAGGGCAGGAAAUCCUUUCCCACUGGGUGGCAGUGUCGAGCCUCAGUUUCCGCUCAUGCCCCUGUUUAAUGCACUGUAUGCAGGUUGCUAUUUGUGGUUCAGCCUCCUGCUCAUGAUGCUGGACUGAUUACUGCAGCUUUAGCUCCUGUGGGCCUUCAGCAGUUAGACCCAGAUCCCACAGAGACACGAGGAUCCUCUCAGCAGCAGAGCCAAAAACACUUUACACACAAUACUGUUUAGUCAAAUGAGUUCCUUCAGAUAUCAUAGUCUGUUAGGAAAUGUAAAGUCAGAGCUGUGGGGGUAAAGAGAAGGAAUAAAAGACUCUCCAGCACAUCCGGGGACACUUUUAACCUCCAGUUCAA